GCGUUGGUGGUAUAGUGGUGGUGAGUGGUGCUGCCUUCCAAGCAGUUGACCCGGGUUCGAUUCCCGGCCAACGCA